UACGUAGGCAACGAGCGUUGUUCGGAAUUACUGGGCGUAAAGAGUGUGUAGGCGGUGCUCUAAGUUCGGUGUGAAAUCUCCUGGCUCAACUGGGAGGGUGCGCCGGAAACUGGAGUGCUUGAGCGUGGGAGAGGAAAGCGGAAUUCCUGGUGUAGCGGUGAAAUGCGUAGAUAUCAGGAGGAACACCUGUGGUGUAGACGGCUUUCUGGACCAUAGCUGACGCUGAGACACGAAAGCGUGGGUAGCAAACAGG
rnacentral:rRNA from 1 species